GCUGGGCGCGGUGGCACGUGCCUGUAGUCCCAGCUACUCCAGAGGCUGAGGUGGGAGGAUCACUUGAGCCUAGGAGUUCUGGGCUGUAGUGCGCUAUGCCGAUCGGGUGUCGGCACUAAGUUCAGUAUCAAUAUGGUGACCUCCCGGGAGCAGGAGACCACCACGAUUCCUAAGGAGGGGUGAACUGGCCCAGGUCGGAAACGGAGCAGGUCAAAACUCCCGCGCUGAUCAGUAGUGGGAUCGCGCAAGUGAUCCACCCACCUCGGCCUCCCAAAGUGCUGGGAUUACAGGCUU
ensembl:misc_RNA Metazoa_SRP Metazoan signal recognition particle RNA